AUGCCACCCCCUCCACCUCCUGGCCCCUUGAGAAGCCUCCUUCACCUUCCCCUGCUUCUUAGUUCAAUGCUCCCCUCACUCCACUGGCCACUCUGGCCCUUGAACAGCUACUGCUGCCCUCUGCUCUCUGCAUCAGAGUUAUUUCGGGGUUUAUUCAUUCCCAUUUCUGGUUGCCAACUCAUGGGAGGCCAAUGAGCGCCUCUGUCUAAAUCACCUUGGCAUUCAAACAGUUCAAAGGCUGAAUACAAAUGAAAAAGUGUAUGAAUGAAUAAAUGAACAACUAAAUAAAUGAAAAUUGACUAGGCAGACAUUUCAGAGGCAUUCUGGGACCUUCCUCUUUAAUGAGGGUCAAGAGCAUGGACUCCAAAGCAGUAGGCCUGAGGUUGAAUCCUAGCCCACAUGCCUUGCUUACUGUGUGACCUUGAGCAUAUUACUUAAUGUCUCUGUGCAUAAUAACAGCACCUACCUCCUGGGUAGAAGCAACUCUAUUUGAAGUCUGUAGAGUCAUGCCAGACACAUAGUAGGACCAGGGACACUGCAUAGUCUCAGCACAGAGCACAAAACCAAAUGUUUUGUAUGAAAUUCUGAUGUUGAUCCCAACAGCCCACUUUGAGCUCACUGUGAUAAAACAGAAGGCAAGGAGUUAAAAGGAGCCUCAGGAAAGAGGGAUUAGCAGCAUUGUGUCUGUUUAGUUACUCAGCUCACAGCCUCUCCAGAGGAAAAUAUCCUUGAAAGAUUAGAUUAUGUAGUGCGAACUACAGCCACAGUGCCGAGAAGCGCCGCUGUCGCCUCCCAGCUAGGCUGAGGUCUCAGGCUAAUUUCCCGUAGGUGGUCUGGGCCAGAUUUCCUGGAGGCCGGGGACAGAACAAACAGCCUUUCCUGUCCCCCAGGGACUAUAGCGUGAAAGCACUUUUUGAACCUUAAAUUAAAAAACUGAAAGGCCGUGUCCAUUCUGCAAACUCCACAUACUUAAUUUUUAAAACAGCAACACGUCAAAGAUCUCUCACAAAUGAUGGGCCCCUGCUCUGGACUAUUGAAAAGUGUUCGCCUUUAAGAAA
rnacentral:lncRNA from 1 species